rnacentral:rRNA from 1 species
AUUGAACGCUGGCGGCAGGCCUAACACAUGCAAGUCGAGCGGAUGAAGGGAGCUUGCUCCUGGAUUCAGCGGCGGACGGGUGAGUAAUGCCUAGGAAUCUGCCUGGUAGUGGGGGAUAACGUCCGGAAACGGGCCCUAAUACCGCAUACGUCCUGAGGGAGAAAGUGGGGGAUCUUCGGACCUCACGCUAUCAGAUGAGCCUAGGUCGGAUUAGCUAGUUGGUGGGGUAAAGGCCUACCAAGGCGACGAUCCGUAACUGGUCUGAGAGGAUGAUCAGUCACACUGGAACUGAGACACGGUCCAGACUCCUACGGGAGGCAGCAGUGGGGAAUAUUGGACAAAGGGCGAAAGCCUGAUCCAGCCAUGCCGCGUGUGUGAAGAAGGUCUUCGGAUUGUAAAGCACUUUAAGUUGGGAGGAAGGGCAGUAAGUCAAUACCUUGCUGUUUUGACGUUACCAACAGAAUAAGCACCGGCUAACUUCGUG